GAUGAACGCUGGCGGCGUGCCUAAUACAUGCAAGUCGAGCGAACAGACGAGGAGCUUGCUCCUCUGACGUUAGCGGCGGACGGGUGAGUAACACGUGGAUAACCUACCUAUAAGACUUGGAUAACUUCGGGAAACCGGAGCCAAUACCGGCUAAUAUAUUGAACCGCAUGGUUCAAUAGUGAAAGACGGCUUUGCUGUCACUUAUAGAUGGAUCCGCGCCGCAUUAGCUAGUUGGUAAGGUAACGGCUUACCAAGGCAACGAUGCGUAGCCGACCUGAGAGGAUGAUCGGCCACACUGGAACUGAGACACGGUCCAGACUCCUACGGGAGGCAGCAGUAGGGAAUCUUCCGCAAUGGGCGAAAGCUUGACGGAGCAACGCCGCGUGAGUGAUGAAGGUCUUCGGAUCGUAAAACUCUGUUAUUAGGGAAGAACAAAUGUGUAAGUAACUAUGCACGUCUUGACGGUACCUAAUCAGAAAGCCACGGCUAACUACGUG
rnacentral:rRNA from 1 species